GUGACCUACGGGGGGCAGCAGUAGGGAAUAUUGCUCAAUGGGGGAAACCCUGAAGCAGCAACGCCGCGUGGAGGAUGAAGGUUUUAGGAUUGUAAACUCCUUUUGUGAGAGAAGAUAAUGACGGUAUCUCACGAAUAAGCACCGGCUAACUCCGUGCCAGCAGCCGCGGUAAUACGGAGGGUGCAAGCGUUACUCGGAAUCACUGGGCGUAAAGAGUGCGCAGGCGGGCUUGUAAGUCAGAUGUGAAAUCCUCGCGCUCAACGUGGGAACUGCCUUUGAAACUGGCAAACUGGAGUGUGUGAGAG
rnacentral:rRNA from 1 species